rnacentral:rRNA from 1 species
CAAUAGCGUAUAUUAAAGUUGUUGCAGUUAAAAAGCUCGUAGUUGGAUUUCUGGUUGAAGCGACCGGUCGGGCGUUGAUUCGUCUGCACUGGAGUCGGUUUUGGCCAUCCUCUAGGAAAGUGCGUCUGGUAUUAAGUUAUCGGGCGUAUGAUCCUGGUCUUUUACUGUGAAAAAAUUAGAGUGUUUAAAGCAGGCCUUCGCCUUGAAUACAUUAGCAUGGAAUAAUAAGAUAGGACUUUGGUCUAUUUUGUUGGUUUGCAGACCGAAGUAAUGAUUAAUAGGGAUAGUUGGGGGUAUUUAUAUUCCGAUGUCAGAGGUGAAAUUCUUAGAUUUUCGGAAGAUAAACUUAUGCGAAAGCAUUUACCAAGGAUGUUUNCAUUGA